UACGGAGGGUGCAAGCGUUAUCCGGAUUCACUGGGUUUAAAGGGUGCGUAGGCGGGCAGAUAAGUCAGUGGUGAAAUCUCUGGGCUUAACCCAGAAACUGCCGUUGAUACUAUUUGUCUUGAAUAUCAUGGAGGUAAGCGGAAUAUGUCAUGUAGCGGUGAAAUGCUUAGAUAUGACAUAGAACACCAAUUGCGAAGGCAGCUCACUACACAAUCAUUGACGCUGAGGCACGAAAGCGUGGGGAUCAAACAGG
rnacentral:rRNA from 1 species